CCUGUAUCUUGUAGAUAAAGCCACAGGUCUCAUAAAAAACACUCAAGAUCUGGAGUUUAACUACGAAAAAGAUGACAUUGCUCCAGCACCAAUAUUAGGCUUCUGGUCCGAAAAAAAUAAGUGGUUAUUUUUUGCUGUAUUUAAACUUUAUAUUAUUGUUUAUUGUUAAAAUGAUUGUUUAAUGUCAUUUGCAAUAAAAAUGUGUUGAAGAAUAUGUAUAAAAACAUAAUUAUGUCACACUUUGCGAGAUAUGAGAUGGUGAAAAAUGUCAUUAUACAAAACAACAUUAAUUUAUUUCGAAAUAAUUGCGCAUAUUAUAAUAAAAAAGUGAUUUUAGCUAAAUAAAUAAUGUUUUCGAUAAAUCUAAUUAUAAGCAUAAUAUUAGGCUUUCGUUCCCGGAAAGCUUAAUAAUUAUACACAUAUGUGCAAUCUUAUAUCGAUAUUCUGUAUUUGCGUAUCAAAGUUUGCCUUAGUAAAUAAUAGGUUGUUCACUGUUCACUUUCGGAAAGGACAAUGAAAAGCGCAUCCACGCACUCCAUCCAUUCUAAAAUAAUUUAUAUAAUAAUUAAAAGAUCACAAAUGAGUAAAGUUUCAAGACAAUAUUAAGGAGAAAGUUUCAAAAUAGACUAGCUAUGAGAUAAAAUAACGUUUUAUUUUGUUAUUCAUAAAUUUAUCGGUUUGCUAUAAAUAUUUUUAUGUGUGAUUUUUUAAAAUGGUUUUUAAAGGAAAAACGUGUGUGUGCGCGUGCGCACGCGUACGUGCAUGCGUGUGUGGAUGUGCACAAGAUACGAAAAUUGUUUAUAAUAAAAACUAAAAAGAGCGUGAAAACAGUGUUAUAGGAAAUAUGUUUUUUUUAAUAACGAGAUAUAAUUAUGACCAAAAUGUAAUUUGAAUACGAAUAAAUACAGAUACACCUUUUUUAUGAAUAACUGAA